rnacentral:rRNA from 1 species
GAGAAUGCCGGUGUGAGUAGCGAAAGACGGGUGAGAAUCCCGUCCACCGAUUGACUAAGGUUUCCAGAGGAAGGCUCGUCCGCUCUGGGUUAGUCGGGUCCUAAGCUGAGGCCGACAGGCGUAGGCGAUGGAUAACAGGUUGAUAUUCCUGUACCACCUAUAAUCGUUUUAAUCGAUGGGGGGACGCAGUAGGAUAGGCGAAGCGUGCGAUUGGAUUGCACGUCUAAGCAGUAAGGCUGAGUAUUAGGCAAAUCCGGUACUCGUUAAGGCUGAGCUGUGAUGGGGAGAAGACAUUGUGUCUUCGAGUCGUUGAUUUCACACUGCCGAGAAAAGCCUCUAGAUAGAAAAUAGGUGCCCGUACCGCAAACCGACACAGGUAGUCAAGAUGAGAAUUCUAAGGUGAGCGAGCGAACUCUCGUUAAGGAACUCGGCAAAAUGACCCCGUAACUUCGGGAGAAGGGGUGCUCUUUAGGGUUAACGCCCAGAAGAGCCGCAGUGAAUAGGCCCAAGCGACUGUUUAUCAAAAACACAGGUCUCUGCUAAACCGUAAGGUGAUGUAUAGGGGCUGACGCCUGCCCGGUGCUGGAAGGUUAAGAGGAGUGGUUAGCUUCUGCGAAGCUACGAAUCGAAGCCCCAGUAAACGGCGGCCGUAACUAUAACGGUCCUAAGGUAGCGAAAUUCCUUGUCGGGUAAGUUCCGACCCGCACGAAAGGCGUAACGAUUUGGGCACUGUCUCAACGAGAGACUCGGUGAAAUCAUAGUACCUGUGAAGAUGCAGGUUACCCGCGACAGGACGGAAAGACCCCGUGGAGCUUUACUGUAGCCUGAUAUUGAAAUUCGGCACAGC